rnacentral:rRNA from 1 species
CGGGAAUUUUGGGCAAUGGGCGAAAGCCUGACCCAGCAACGCCGCGUGAAGGAUGAAAUCCCUCGGGAUGUAAACUUCGCAAGAGCGGGAAGAAUAAGUAGGGGACAAUACCCCCUAUGAUGACGGUACCGUUUGUAAGCUCCGGCUAACUCCGUGCCAGCAGCCGCGGUAAUACGGGGGGAGCAAGCGUUGUUCGGAUUUACUGGGCGUAAAGGGCGCGUAGGCGGUCAGCACAAGUCAGUUGUGAAAUCUCCGAGCUUAACUCGGAAAGGUCAACUGAUACUGUGCGACUAGAGUGCAGAAGGGGCAACUGGAAUUCUCGGUGUAGCGGUGAAAUGCGUAGAUAUCGAGAGGAACACCUGCGGCGAAGGCGGGUUGCUGGGCUGACACUGACGCUGAGGCGCGAAAGCUAGGGGAGCGA